AACGAACGCUGGCGGCAUGCCUAACACAUGCAAGUCGAACGAGACCUUCGGGUCUAGUGGCGCACGGGUGCGUAACGCGUGGGAAUCUGCCCUCUGGUUCGGAAUAACUCAGGGAAACUUGAGCUAAUACCGGAUAAUGACUUCGGUCCGAAGAUUUAUCGCCUGAGGAUGAGCCCGCGUCGGAUUAGCUAGUUGGUGAGGUAAAGGCUCACCAAGGCGACGAUCCGUAGCUGGUCUGUGAGGAUGAUCAGCCACACUGGGACUGAGACACGGCCCAGACUCCUACGGGAGGCAGCAGUGGGGAAUAUUGGACAAUGGGCGAAAGCCUGAUCCAGCAAUGCCGCGUGAGUGAUGAAGGCCUUAGGGUUGUAAAGCUCUUUUACCCGGGAUGAUAAUGACAGUACCGGGAGAAUAAGCCCCGGCUAACUCCGUGCCAGCCGCCGCAGUAA
rnacentral:rRNA from 1 species